CAGUAGCCGCGGGAAUACGUAGGUGGCAAGCGUUGUCCGGAAUUAUUGGGCGUAAAGGGCUCGCAGGCGGUUUCUUAAGUCUGAUGUGAAAGCCCCCGGCUCAACCGGGGAGGGUCAUUGGAAACUAGGAAACUUGAGUGCAGAAGAGGAGAGUGGAAUUCCACGUGUAGCGGUGAAAUGCGUAGAGAUGUGGAGGAACACCAGUGGCGAAGGCGACUCUCUGGUCUGUAACUGACGCUGAGGAGCGAAAGCGUGGGGAGCAGACAGGAUUAGAUACCCUGGUAGUCCCUGUCUCUUAUAA
rnacentral:rRNA from 1 species